rnacentral:lncRNA from 1 species
UCAAAAUAAGUUAUUAUUGAAUUCAUCAGUACCAUGAUAUACACGGAUGGCUAUAGCAAGAUAGAAAAUUUAGUUUGAGCUUUGAUUGCCAAAGAUAUUUAGUUUUGUUUUGUUGUAUCUCCGUGAACUACCCUUUUAUACAUGCACGAUUUCUCUCAACUUCACCUUUUGUUUGGAAUUUAACAGAGCUUAACUAUAUAUAAUAAUAGGCUAAUAGCUAUGAAUGUAGUAAAAUCUAUCCGACUUGGUGUCUAGCGAUGUAUUUACCUUGUAGUAGCUCCAGGCCUCCUCCCCUGAAGGAACAGUAUGGCACAGAGGACGGUCGCUGCAGAACGCGACUCGAGCAGUUGACAGAUAGAGCGUCCCGGCAACAGGGCCAGUAGAUGUUGAGAGGUAACAAGCAAAACUCUUCUUCAGCUUCUCAUUAGGAUCGGUGGUUUCAAAUAUAUGCUUGAAGAGAGACUCAAAGCCACCCUCUGUCAUUGCUUUCACCGUCAGGUUUACCUUACCCCAGGCAGCUUGUGGCACAGAUGGCCCUGUGCUAACUGCAUUAAAGUGUAUGUGCAGGUGCGUGUUAAAACAGAUCAGAAAUAAGAUUGGAAGAUACACUUGAACUAAAUUUGUUGUCCGCUUUGAUGCCAGAAAAUCGCUACUCUAUCAUGGUCACAGUUACAGUGACGAUCAAUUAGCUAAUUUAAUAUUUCAUGGUUUGUGAACAUCAACUUACGAUUGUGCCAGAUGUUACGGGCUACGGUCUCUGCCAUCUUGCCCCAUUCUUGAAACUUAUGGAUCACAGGUUCAAAAGAUUUCUGGGUUGACAUUUCUGAUUUGUCAAUGGGAGUAUAAACCAGGUAUGGGUGCUCGGGGAUUUGCUGGUGCUCACUGGCAUUCCAUAAGGCAGCCUGUUGGUUGUCAGGGUGGAAAUUAGGUGCUGCUGGAGGCCCCAUGAUGUGGGUGCCCCAUUUCUUGGAUUUCUCAUCCGAUGCUGGUGGUUGAUCCUUAGGGUGGGAUUCCUCCGUGACAGUGGCAGAUGAGGUUGGUUCAUGGAAUUCUGCCUCUUGAUCAGCCUUUGAAGAUGGUGGUGGUGGAGGUACUUGUUGGGUUUCUGUCUCUUGCGGAGUGCCUGUCAUCUUUACUAAAUAAAAUUGAAUGGAAGGUAAAAGGGGGAAAACACGAAAAGCGGCAGAUCAAGAUUGGUUAUCUGAUCCAGUGAGAACUCUUGGAAGAUUUGAUGGUUUGGUUGGUGCUAAUAAACUUUUGAUUUAUAGAAGUUCAAUUCAUGGGUUAUCCAUAUUAUAUAAUUUCUAGACACGGUUUCGUUUUCUUUGCAAUGAAGAAAGAUGAAAAAUCAACCUUCUAGAUUAGCAAUAAUGUUUUCAGCGUCUUUAGCCAGCCAUAUUGUAUAAAUUAUGCUCUUUCUAGAUAUUUUGCAAAAGGGGUGCCAAUGUCAAAGCACUGCUUGAUAUUACCACGAAUAGAAAAGAAGGUUUGUCUGCUUUGCAUCAACAAAUUAUCAUGAAUGGAAAAUAUCUAAAAAAUACUAAUUUAAUAUUUUGAAUUAUGCUCUGUCCAGAUGUAGGAUAUUUUGAAAACGGAUGACAAUGUAGGAUAUUUCUAGAUUAGCAAAAAAAAACUAUAUCUAGGUGCAUGUUGUUAAUAUUUUUCUAGUAAAAAAAUUAAAUUGAAUAGAUUCGAAGUAGGUUUAAAUGUAAUUAGAAUGAUUAGUAAAAUAUAAUUAAUUUAACUAAAAAAAUUUAAGAUGAUAUUUAAAAAAAAAAAUUGAAUUGAAAACAUAUUGGAUCGACCUGAAUUAAUUCAGGUUUAUCUAUUAAAUACCCAACUUGAGUUAUAAAACCACAAUAACCAUAUAUAAAACGAAUUGAAAAAAGUUAGGUGCUCAAUUUCUAAUCAACUCAAUAUUUUGUUAAAUUUUUUAAAGUAUAUAAUUAAAAAAAUAAUCUUAGUUAACCACUAAACUUACGACUCAAGUCAUGAAACGAGGAUUAACUUAUAUAAUGUAAAAUAAAAUAAAUUAUGAAGUCUUAUUCUUAAUAAAUCAAAUGUUGAAUAAUGAAAUUAAAAUUAAAUAAUUAAAAAUUGACAAAAAAAAGACUUAAAUCAACCCGGGUCAACUUUCCAAACUUAUAACUCAAAUCAUAGGACUGAAAUAACAUCAUAGAAAAUAAAUAAAUAAAAAAUGACCUUGGUUAAAUCGAGUUAACCUAUCAAACUUGUGAGUCGAUUUAAGAAAUUUAGAUAACCCCAUUGAAAGCAAAUCACAACAAAUUAUGAAACUCAAUUCUCAAUCAAUCAAUUUUAAAAUGAUAAAAUUGAAAAAAAAAAUUAAAAAAAAUAAUAAAACAACUUGAGUCUACCUAAGUUAACCAACGAAACUUGUGACCCGAGUAAUAAGACCGGGAUAACCUCGAAAUAAAUAAUUAAGUUUAAUUUCUAAUCAAAUCAAUAUAAAAAUAUAAAUUUUUUUUAAAAAAAUUAAAAACAAACCUUAGUAAACUUGGCUAACAAACCAAACUAAUAUUUUGUGAUAUAAUGAACAGUAAGAAAUCAUUUAUUUUAGUAUUUUUUUUAAUAAUAAUUUGGUUGAUAAUAAUUUGUUAAUGUUAUCAACCUGUUAAACCAUAUAAAUUAUGCCCUUUCUAGAUGUAGGAUAUUUUUGAAAACAGACGCCAAAACUUUGAGACCAAGGGACUUCACAAACUGGUUCUAUUAAGACAGGUGCAUUUGUCAAUAAUUUCUAGAUCCUUCUUUUAGCAGCCCCAUGUUGACCAGUUACAAGGAUCACGGUCAACAGGUUAGAACCAAGAGGUUUUAUUUUUUCUAGGAUUUCAAAUUUAAACUUUAAUUACUAAUAUAAUGAUUAUUAAAAUAAAAAUUUAUAUAAUUAUUAAAUUUAAAAUUCAUAAAAUUAAUCAAAAUAAAUACAAAUUAUGUCAAAUAUUUAUAUUAAUUAAAAAAAAAAACAGAGAGAGAGAUUACGGUCUACCCUUUACAUGAACUCAAAUAUAGCACCACGCGGGAUUAGUGCUCCCUUGUUUUAAAAAUUUUAUUUGCUUCGGUUUUCUGGGACUGGCACUAGAAGGUGUACAUGGAUUUUAAUUACAAUCGUGAGUGUGUUUGAUUUUUCAUUUUUUUUCUUUAAAUAAUUUUUCAAAAAUAGAGAAACAACUGUUCAAAUAUUAAAUUUUAUGAUACAUCUAAAUCCAAUCAUUAAGACUUGAUUUGUAAAUUCGAUAUGGUGGGUGCUGACGUGUCAUAUUGUGUCUCGUGGCUUUUACAAUCCGCCACAUAAGAAAAAGUUUACUGGUUGGGUAUGACAUGGCAUCCUUGAAUGGGUGAGGAGACCUUUUUGAUCAUUGACUAUUUAAAGGGACUUGACCAAGAGGACAUCCGUGGUCGAUGUAACAUAUUCAUCAGCUUUAAUGACAAAUCGUACAUACAUUACAUGCAAAUUCUCGAAGCAUGUGACAUUGUUUUUUUACGUAACCACUAAGAAUAUUUCGUAAUAUAUUAAUAAUGCCUGAAUACAUUUAUAUUUUAAAAGUUUUUUUUAAAAAUUUAAUUUAAUUUAAUUUUUAUUUUUUUAUUUUAAAUUAUAUGCUGAUGUUAAAAAUAAUUUUUUUAAAAAAUAUAUAUUUUAAUAUAUUUUCAAAUAAAAAAUACUUUAAAAAAUAAUUAUAACUACACCCUCAAAGACCAAUUAAAUAGAAAAAACAAAUUUUGGCUACAUAUUUAAUAUGGUAGAUUGCAUUCUCCACUUCAAACAUUUUAUGUUUUUAUAAAUUCAAAUAUUAUAAAUUAAAUUGAUAUAUUUUUAAUUUUUAUAACUAUUAAUUAAAUUGAAAAACUUAUAAUAUACUAUAACUAGGUAUAAAAUUUCAUACAUAACACUCUAUCGAAAAACUAGAUUUUAAUGGUCUAAAGUUACAAACUCAUUAUUUUUAUUUCAAUUCCUUAAUUUCAUUAUUUCUUCAGAUUCAUCUAUCAAAACAUAUAAAAUCACUUUCAAUGAUUUUCUGUCAAUCUAACAUUCACUCCUUAAAAGUGAUUAGAAAUUAGUAUUAUAAAACCCUAAUUCCUAAACCUUUUUUUUUUGUAAUCCUAAUAUAUAUAUAUAUAUAUAUAUAUAUAUAUAUGCAAAAACUCUCAAUUACAAAGCAAGGAUGGAGCACACACCUUAAAUUGAUAAUAAAAAAAAUAUUUUAUCUAUAAAUCAAAUCUUCUCCUUUCUCUCUCUUUCUCUGUUGAUGUAGGUUUUGAUUAUCUAAUAAAAUUAGAGUGUAAGUUACUCUAAAGUUUUGUUUUCUUUUUAUACUCUAAAUUAUUGUGUAACUACUAACUUAUAAUACCCUUAAUAAAUAAAAAGGGCAUAAUAAAAACCCUAAUUAAUUAUUUUAUUUUAUUUAUUAUUGCUAUUUUAUAUAUAUAUAUAUAUCAAAACAUGUGAAAUGUUUUAGUUAUCCCUCAACCAUAGUCACCUAUAAUUACUCAUUAAAGGAUAAUGUUGUCCUUUCCUAUUCAAUUUUUCAUGGUAUCACAGACACAUUAGUAGCCUCCAUUGAUGAGUCAGCCUUCUACGAACACAACAGCAAAUACAUAGCAUCAACAAGUUACAUGUAGUAGCAGAAGAUCAGUCAUACCAACAGCAGAAAAAACUCCAGCGACAGCAACUUCAAAACAUGUACAGGAAUAGUAGCAACUGUUAAGAUUGUCCAAAAAUAUUAGAAAAUAAUAAUUAAGACAAGAGCAUAUAUAUACGUAGUUUAUAAUCAUGAAAUUCAUUAGAUCAUGGUAAAUUUGCUAUCAUAACAAAAAGUAUAUAUAAAAGACUCUAACAUGCAUUCUAGCAUAUACCAAACUUGAUAAUGAUAUAAAAAUAAAGUCUUAGCAAGCAUACUAGUCAUACAACAUAUUUUUUAAUAAUUUAAAACAAAACCAAAAAUACAUUACUUAUUUUUUAAAACACUUUAAAAUUGAUCAAGUUUUGUUAUUGUCAAUAAUCAAUCAUUUGUCCUAAAAAUUUUAUUGAUCUUCACUUGAUGCAAUAUGAUUUUUUUUCAAUAAAUUUCUCAAAAUUUCAGCAUCAACACCUUAUUUUAAUGUAUUUCUGAACAAGAUCCAGUAAGCCAAUAAAAUAUUACUUAAUAAUCCCUCUACAAUAAAAAUUAUUUUAUAAUGAAUCUAAAUCAUGUCCAGGCCUCGACGCAUACAGACGCAUACACGUGUAAGUUUAAUCCCAAAGCUCAAUUUGCUUAGGACAUCUCCCUUUUAAAAGGGUUGGUGCUUUUUAAAUUUAAUUUUAACUUCACAACUUUUCAUUUAAUAAACAUAAAAAAGGUUUUGUUUCUUUUCUAUAUAGAAUAGAGUUUUUUUUAGAAAGUUUUUGGUUUUACAAAAAUAUAUUAACUCAUGAUUUUUUUAGAUCAAUUUCUCAUUAACCCAUAUUUUUUAAAAUCAUGUUAAUGUUUCAUAUUAAAUUAAAAUUAAUUUUUAAUAAAAUUUUAACCCAAAAAGUGAGUAGACUCUACUUUUAAUUUGGUUUUAAAUAUGUCCAUUUAACCAUAUUCUUAGAUAAGUUUUCCAACAACACAACACAUCAUUAGUAGUCCUUAAAAGUUGUAAUAGUUAUUGCAACAAUAAACAACAAUAACUACUUUUUUAUCUAGAACUAACCUUAACAACGGGACGCCAAAUUAAGAUCUUACAUGAGGUAGUAUGGUAUUUUUUUAGGGGCAUAUGAAGAUUUCCCAACCUGGAAUCAAUAAGGUCAAGUUAUAUGCUAUUUUUUUAAUGGCACAUGAAAAGUAAAACUUGCCUUUGAAGAACUUGUAAUAGUUAUCCGCAAAUUAUCAGAUUAAGUCAAGUUAUAUGCAAUUUCAAGAUAUUGAAGACUUGCAUAUCUUUCUCAAAAAAAAUAAAGAAAAGACAUCCUCGAAUUGGCUUCGUUUGUGAAGUUCCAAAAACUACUUAGUGUUUGAACUCUAGAAGAACCCCGACUCUACGGUUGAAAGAGUAGGUGGUGCUGCGUCUUUAUGCUUUUUUCUUUUGCUGCUGAUCUCACAUCGAGAACAGCUCCUUGACAGUUGAUCCUAUUUAAAAAAGAACCUUUUUUUUUUUUCUAAAUGAGUGUUUAAGAAAAUUAAUUUAAGCAAAGUAUUGUUAAGAUACGAAAAGGUUUUCUAGAUUAAAAAAAAAUGUGAAAUUUUUAUAUAACUAGUUAAUUAAAAUUCUUAAUGAACUAGAAUUUAAAGUUCUUGUUGCAAAAAGGAUAUUUUGAACUUAUAAUCUAUCUAUAAAUAUAUAAAUAUAAGGGGCAAUAUAUGCUGUUAAGGCUUUUGCAAAUUGAGAAAUGGAAAACGAUGUUGAAUGCGGUGGGAGGGUGGGGAAAGUAUAUCAGAAAAUAUAUCCAAAUGCAACUCCGUUAUCAAAAAUCUACAUAACUAUAUAAACAACAAUAAAAAAAAAAGAAAAAGAAAAAAAAAAGAAUACAUUAUAGAAGAGGAUAAAUGAAUGACAAGAGGAAAACCAAAAGAAAAUGCCCUUCAGACAACAAACAAUAAAUCCACUAGAAACAGUGAAGAUCAAAAUUUUGAAGGGCAUGAAGGAUUCAACUCCAAAUGCAAUCAUUGGCUAAGCAACAACUGGUUGAAUUGCAAUUCCUGCUUCCUUGAAACUUGACACGCUCUCUGAUAGAUUUUGCAAGGCUUUCUCGAAAUUAACGAAACCCAUAAACCAGAAGUCGUGCCCAUCGGUGCUGACAAGUUGAAUGUACUUCCUUGAUGGAUUUUCCAGCAUUGUCUCCGAGCUGACUGUGCUUAUUUUGUCCAAGGGUAUCAUAACCUGCCCAAAAUAAAUUAUUAUUGAAUUCAUUAUUAGUACCAUGAUGUACACGGAUGGCUAUGGCAAGAUAGAAAAUUUAGUUUGAGCUUUGAUUGCCAAAGACAUUUAUUUUUGCUUUGCUGUAUCUCCGUGAACUACCCUUUUAUAUAUGCACGAUUUCUCUCAACUUCACCUUUUGUUUGGAAUUUAACAGAGCUUAACUAUAUAUAUAACAAUAGCUUUGAAUGUAGUAAAAUCUAUCCGACUUGGUGUCUAGCUAGCGAUGUAUUUACCUUGUAGUAGCUCCAGGCCUCCUCUCCUGAAGGAGCAGUAUGGGACAGAGGACGGUCACUGCAGAACGCGACUCGAGCAGUUGAUAGAUAGAGCGUCCCGGCAACAGGGCCAGUAGAUGUUGACAGGUAACAAGCAAAAGUCUUCUUCAGCUUCUCAUUAGGAUCCGUUUCAAAUAUUUGCUUGAAGAGAGACUCAAAGCCACCCUCUGUGAUUGCUUUCGCCGUCAGGUUUACCUUACCCCAGGCAGAUUGUGGCACAGAUGGCCCUGUGCUAACUGCAUUAAAGUGUAUGUGCAGGUGCGUGUUAAAACAGAUCAGAAAUAAGAUUGGAAGAUACACUUGAACUGAAUUUGUUGUCCGCUUUGAUGCCAGAAAAUCGCUACUCUAUCAUGGUCACAGUGAUGAUCAAUUAGCUAAAUUUAAUACUUCAUGGUUUGUGAACAUCAACUUACGAUUGUGCCACAUGUUACGGGCUACGGUCUCUGCCUUCUUGCCCCAUCCCUGAAACUUAUGGAUCACAGGUUCAAAAGAUUUCUGGGUUGACUUUUCUGAUUUGUCAAUGGGAGUAUAAACCAGGUAUGGGUGCUCGGGGAUUUGCUGGUGCUCACUGGCAGUCCAUAAGGCAGCCUGUUGGUUGUCAGGGUGGACGUUAGGAGCUGCUGCUGGUCCCAUGAUGUGGGUGCCCCAUUUCUUGGGCUUCUCAUCCGAUGCUGGUGGGUGAUCAUUAGGGUGGGAUUCCUCCGUGACAGUGGCAGAUGAGGUUGGUUCAUGGAAUUCUGCCUCUUGAUCAGCCUUAGGUGGUGGUGGUGGUUGUGGUGGAGGUACUUGUUGGGUUUCUGCCUCUUGAUCAGCCUUAGGUGGGGGUGGUGGGGUUACUGGUUGGGUUUCUGCCUCUUUGUUGGUGGGAGGAACCACUGGUGGUGGCUUUGAAACACUCAGAGGGGAUAAAACACACUGGUUUUAUUACAAAAUCCGAAGCUUACAAAUAACACAAAAUAAAAGCUUAAUACACGCCCUCUCUCUCUCUCUUUCUCUUUCAAGUGUUUCUCUCUAUUCUCUCCACACAUAUAACAUAAGCUGGGCACUCUAUUUAUACACAAAUCAAAAUACGAAAAUUCAACCUUCAAGUGUGAAGGCGGCUGGCGGCUGGAGGCGGCUGGCGGCUGCGGCUGGUGGCUGGUCGGCGCUGGUGGUUGGUGGCUGGUUGCCUUCCUUGACCUUCUUGCUUCUAUAUAUUGAGUUUAAAUUCAACAAAUCUCCCCUUAAACUCAAUCGAGAGAUGUCAUGUCAAGCAUGAACACUUCUCCUUUCAAUGCCUUCUUUCUGCUUGUAGCCUUUAUCCUAAUUUGCUUUUGUCUUGUAGACCCUUUUGACACCUAUUGCUUUCUUCUUUUCUGGUGGGUCCUUAUCUGCAUGGAAACAAAACAGAGUUGUAUCUUCCAUGACCUGAGUGGUAUCGUACAACUCUUCAAGAUUCCGCAUCCUUCUUGGUCCUUCUGAUGAGGAUGCUGAUGGUGGUGUUGAUGAUGAUGCUCCUGGUGUGUUCCUCCUGUUGAAUACAGGGAAUCUUGUACCGGACUUUGUGGUUCAGCUGCUGGUAUAAACACGGACUUUGUGGUUCAGCUGCUGGCACAAUGGUUCUUCUACAAGUACUGUUGGUACUUCUUCACCUUCAAGGAUCAAAUCAAGAUUGAUCCAUUUGACUGCUUCUUGAUCACCAUUCCAUGCCCAAGAUUUAUCUUCUUCAAAGAUAACAUCUCUACUCGUAAUCACCUUCUUCGUGAUGGGAUUAUACAGCCUGUAUCCCAUCCUUCUUUCACCAUAUCCGACAAAGAUGCAUUUCUCGCUCUUAUCAUCGAGCUUUCUCCUUCUUGCAUCUGGGAUCUUUGCAUAUGCCACACAACCAAAGACUCGUAGAUGAGUAACACUUGGUUUGUGACCACUCCAUGCUUCUUCUGGAGUGACUCCUUGCAAACUUCUGGUUGGGCAGCGAUUCAACAGAUACACUGCACAUGAUACAGCUUCAGCCCAGUAUUGCUUGGGCAACUUCUUUGCUUUGAGCAAACUUCUGCCAUGUCAAGAAUCGUGCGAUUCUUCCUUUCUGCUACACCGUUCAGCUGUGGUGUAUAAGCUGGCGUCGUCUGAUGUCUGAUGCCUUGUUGUGUACAAUAGGCUUCAAAGUCAUUGCUGUAUAUUCUCCACCUUGAUCAGAUCUCACUGUUCUGAUCGUAUAACCAGUUUGCUUCUCCACAAUUGCUUUAAAAUCUUUAAAACAAUUGAAUACUUCUGACUUCCUCUUCAGAAAGUAUAUCCACGUCUUUCUACUAAAAUCAUCAGUAAAAGUGAGGAAGUACCUAUUUUGUCCAGUCGACAUAGGCGUAAUUGGGCCACACACAUCUGUGUGUACUAACUCCAGUGGCCUCUUUGCUCUCCAGUUGACUUCUUUGGCAAAACUGGAUCUGUGAUGUUUGCUGAGGACACAACUCUCACAGACUUUCUGGAUGAUCAAUGUGAGGCAAACCUUUGACCAUCUUCUUGCUUGCUAGCAUCUUCAUACUGUGAAAUUCAGAUGUCCAAGCCUCAGGUGCCAAAGCCAUUCUUCACUGUUGGUGAUGGCACUCAAACACCUUGUUGCAUCAUACUGGAUGUUCAAAGGAAACAUCCUAUUCUUGGACAUUUUCACGUAGGCCAUUAAUCUCCCAUUGUUGUCUCUAAUUGUCAGAUGACAAUUCUUCGAGUAAAAACUAUAUCCUCUCUCCAAAAGUUGCCUAAGCUGAUCAGGUUCUGCUUUAUGGCUGGGACAUAAUACAAUCGGCGAUGUAGCUGGAAUCGCCAUUCUUCAACUUGACUGGGAUGUUGCCUUUACCUUUGAAUGGAACCUUUGUGGUAUCUCCAAAAGUAACUAGACCUUGCUUGGUCUCAUCUAGAUCACCAAAUAACUCUCGGUAGCCGCACAUGUGAUUGCUGGCUCCAGUAUCUAGAUACCAUAUUCUCCUGUUUCUCGCCAAUUCUUGUUGGACAAGAAAUGCAGAUGCUUCUCCAUCAUGCUUCUCUACAUAGUUGGCUUGCUCACGUAUCUCCAACGGAGCUUUCCAUCGGCAUUCAGUGCUAUAGUGCCCAAAUUGAUUGCAGCUAUAACAUUUGAUAUUUCUCUUGUCACGGUUAUUGUAACCGCCUCCUCUUCCUCUAGGAGUGAAUGCUUGUUGUCCUCGGCCUCCUCUGGUGGUGUUUCUGCCACCUCUUCCUCUAAAGCUUGUAUUCCAAGAACCUCUUCCUUGGAAUCUCUGGAAUCCUCCUCUGGAUUGUUGACUUCCUCCUUGAGUGGUGUAGCCACUUGAUGAAGUCUCCCCUUGCUCAUAUCUGUCCUUGAAAGACAGCUUUGCUUGUAAGGCAUGCUCAAUGGCCUUAUCUUCAUUUCGCAUUACAAUCUUCUGCUCAUGAGCUUGCAAAGAACUCAUAAGCUCAUCACUGUCAACUUGUCCACUUCCUUGGACUCUUCAAUUGCGACAACAACAUGAUCAAAUUUUGGAUCUAUGGAUCUCAAAAUUUUCUCAAUAAUUCGAGUAUCGAUGAGGGCUUCUCCAUUUCUUCUCAUCUGGUUGACUAUCACCAUAAUCCUUGUGAUAAUCAGAAAUAGAUUCUGAGGACUUCAUUCGUAAUAAUUCGAAUUCUCCUCUCAAAGAUUGAAGACGAAUCUUCUUGAUUCUGUCAGCACCUUUGUAUUUCUGUUGGAGAGCCUCCCAUAUAUCAUGUGACGUUUCAGCGGAAGCUAUUAUCUCGAAUGUAUCUUCAUCAAGACCUUGAUAGAUGAUGGUCUUUGCUUUGUUGUCCUUCUUUCUGUUGACUUUGAGGGCUUGCUUCUGUGCCUCUUGUAAAGCAUCUUCUCUUUCUUUGGACUCUGGUUCAUCAUAACCAGUUUGUACAAUAUCAAACACUCUUGUGACCCAAGAAAUGCCUUCAAUCUGAUGCACCAACUAUCAUAGUUGUCUUUGGUCAGCUUGGAUGAGUGUAUGUGUACCUUCUGUAGUCAUUUUGCUCUUUUAAUGACUAUAUCGCCUUCUGGGAGCCGAAUUUGACCAAACGGACACUGUAGAUCGAUCCGGAAUGGUCCAAAUAGUCGGGAACCGGUCUGACUUUGUUGAAAUCGGGUCAGAAAAUGGGUGAACCGGUCAAAAAACCAAUUCUGUACGGCGGGCGGUUCGCUGGGUUGAACCGGGAAUAUUCUGGGAAUAUUCUGGGAAUAUUCUGGGAAUAUUCGGGGAAUAUUCCUUCGGCUCGGCUUAGGCUGGAACGCGGCUCGGCUCGCCUCGGGGGUACGGCUCGGCUUGUGGCUCGGCUGGACUCGGCUUAGGCGGCUUACACGGCUCAAUAUAUGGCGCGCGUGUGGCUCAGUCGUCUUCAACCUCGGGGCGCGUGGGCGAUCUGGCUGAAUAUUCAGGCGGCGCGUGUGGGCUACCCGGAACUCCGAUUUGGCUGAUUUUUGCGGCAGUGAGUUCGUCUUGAUGAGCUCUACACUUUGGAAUGAUCAAAACUUGUUUUUGACAAUUUUGAAAAUUCGGAUAUACCCCAAAACACUUCUGUUUUCCGACGAACGGGGCUCUGAUACCAAUUGUUGGUGGGAGGAACCACUGGUGGUGGCUUUGAAACACUCAGAGGGGAUAAAACACACUGGUUUUAUUACAAAAUCCGAAGCUUACAAAUAACACAAAAUAAAAGCUUAAUACACGCCCUCUCUCUCUCUCUUUCUCUUUCAAGUGUUUCUCUCAAUUCUCUCCACACAUAUAACAUAAGCUGGGCACUCUAUUUAUACACAAAUCAAAAUACGAAAAUUCAACCUUCAAGUGUGAAGGCGGCUGGCGGCAAUGGAGGCGGCUGGCGGCUGCGGCUGGUGGUUGGUCGGCGACUGGUGGCUGGUGGCUGGUUGCCUUCCUUGACCUUCUGGGAGCUUCUGGAUAUAUUGAGUUUAAUAUUCUACACUCUUGAUAUUCAGCCUUAGGAGACGGUGGUGGUGGUGGGUGUUGUGUUUCUGUCUCUUGAGGAGUGCUUGUCAUCUUUACUGAAUGGAAGGUAAAAGUGGGAAAACAGAAAAAGCGGCAGUUCAAGAUUGGUUAUCUGAUUCAGUGAGAACUCUUUGGAAGAUUUGAUGGUUAAAUUGGUGCUAAUAAACUGUUGAUUUAUAGAAGUUCAAUUCAUGGGUUAUCCGUAUUAUAUAAUUUCCAGACACGGUUUCGUUUUCGUUGCAAUGAAGAAAGAUGAAAAAUCAACCUUCUAGAUUAGCAAGAAGGUGUUCAGCCAUAUAAAUUAUGCUCUUUCUAGAUAUUUUGAAAACGGGUGCCAUUGUCAAAGCACCGCUUGAUAUUAUCACGGAUAGAAUCAUAGAAAAGAAGGUUUGUCUGCUUUGCAUCAACAAAUUAACAAAAUAUCUAAAAAAAUAUUAAUUUAAUAUUUUUAUAUAAAACAAUUUUAAAUAAUAAAAAUUAUCAAAUAUCAAAUACAUAAUUAUACAAAAUUAGUACUCCUUAUAUAUAUAAAAAAAUAUUUAGAAUAUUUAAUAUUUUGUAUGAAAUUGAAGAUAAAAAAUUUAAUUAAUGCUAUAAGAUCAAGUUAAAAAUUUAUUAAAAAAAUUUAAAUAGAAAACGUAUUUUUAAAUUUUCAUUAACAUAUUUUUAAUUUUUAAUAUAAACAGAUAUUUGUUUUUCCAUAAAAUUCAGCUCACGUUCACCGGUCCGGGCUCGCCAACUUGAAGCAGGAUAAUGCGCCACUUUUUCGUAUAUAAAAAAUUUAAAAAGCGAAACCCUCCGCCGCCUAUGACAAAGGAAACCUUAAGAACUUAAUGUGGCAUUUACAGUCACAUGGGCUUUACAUCCCAAGAGGAUCUUUUCGGCCCUCAAACGCUAAAAACUAUGCUUCGGCCUUUUUAGGUCUCAAUGUUAAUGGGUCUCAUAAACUCUUAGCCCAGUCCAUAUAGGCAAAAUGCAUGAUAAAAUUAAAACUUAAAACGACAGGGACCAAAUUGUAAUGUUUCAUGCCAAAGUGAAAAGGGCUGCAUUUGUUUGGUCGUGUCAUUGCUGAUCCCUGUUGUUUCAAUUUUCUACAAUUGAUAAAAUCUAAACUAAAAGAUAGCUCGUUCCAUGAGAUAAAUAUAAUAUCUUCCGUCUCGUUUAACGGAGCUUUGAACUGUAACGUAAUAUUUUUUUGAAUGGGAAAUAGCUCGAAGUUCAUCUUUGUUGUUUGCUACAGGUAUGAUAGGACGGAGAGAGAUCCACUGAUAAGGCGGUUUUGGUGACAUUUAAAUGCCGAAAGGAGGGCAUUUCUCAGCGACGGAGUUCUUCCUAACCGCCCCUUAUCAGUCGCGCUCCUUCUUCUCUUUUUGAAGAAAUAGAAAUAAAUCAAGGUUUGAAGCCUAGGGGUUUCACCAUCUGCUCUAACAGACUCUGCCUUCUCCGGGCAUCUUAGUCGGGAAUCAAAUUCUCUUUCUAAAGAACUUCCUUCGUUCCACCGUAUCUUCUUCCUUCCUCUCAAAACAAAGGAUUCUAUGAGUUCCGUGCUUUAUCUAAGUGGACAAAAAAACAUCACACUACAAAUAAAAUAUGUAAAAGUACCAAGCAAUUAUAAAAUGAAUUGCACCGAAACGAUAUUUUUAAAAUUUAUAUAUAUUGAAAAAAUAUGAAAAAAAAGGUCAAAUUAAAAGAAACAUAAACUUAAAAAACUCACUUCUUUAUUUAUAUAUAUAUAUAUAUAUAUAUAUAAACAAUAGAAUUAAUUUGAGCUUCAAGUGAUUUCUUAACAGUUUCAUUGACUAAAUUAAUCGAAUUGAUGAAGGAUUUGCAACAACUAGAAAAAAAAAAAAAAAAAAGAUUAGACUUAGUUGCACUGUGUCAAUUUACGGUAUAGGUUUUUAGAUUGCCAGCCUCUAGUAUCCGAGUUGUCCAAACUAAUCUGGUGGUCGCCCCGAAUUGCAUGCCUGGCAGUGGCAGGUGAGGCUACCAAUAAGAAUUUAUACGUACACGGGGAUUCGAAAUUGAGACCUUACUUAAGCGGAAUAAGCUGCUUACCACUUGAACCAACCCCUAUUAGUAAUUUGCAGUAUAGUUAAAUGUUUAGAAAUAGUAAAAGAAAAAUAAAAUUGGCUGCUUUUUUAGUUUAUACUAGUUUGUAUAUCCAUGAAGUGAGGGGUUUUUAUUUUUUUUUAAAUGUGAAAACAAUAUAUAGGUUUAAAAAAUUCUUUGGCAUUGAAGUAUUGUUAUUAAACUUGGAAAUACAGCUGUUUUAAUUUUUUUCUUUUUAUCAAGAUAAAUUUUUCUAUUAAUGUAUAACUUGUUUAUCUUUGUCAACACGAUAUUUUUAACUAGAAUUAUUCUUUCUAUUUGAAAAAUAAUAAUAUAUGAUUAUUAAAAAAAUUAACAAAUAAUCUCAAAAUAACAUGUUCAUAUUUUUGUGUGAUUAAAAGCUAAAAAACUAUAAAUAUGAUAAAAUUCACAUUUAAAAUUAAUUUAAAUUCUUAAUAAUAAAAAAAAUAUUUUCAAUCGAGUUUUCAUGAACAAUUUAUUAUUAGUAUUAUUAUUUUAAAAUAAAAUUCAUAAUAAAUUUAAAAAAUUAUUAAAAUUCAAAUAAAAAUUUGUAAUAAUAUUUAAAAAUGAUAUCAAAAGUAAAUAAUAAAUAAAUCUGAUAACUUUUUUUUAGAGUUUAAAAAAACAAAGAGAAAAAAAAACACAGCCAACUUUAAUUAUUAUUGAUUUUACCAUCAAACGUUGAAAACAUGAAAUAAGCUCCAUCAUCUUUUUCAUCCAUGGACAUUGCAAGCGGUGGAAUAAGUACGUAUAAUGGAGUAAUUUUCAAGCUUGGUCUUUGUGCGUUGGAAAUUUAGAACAUGCAUCCAAACGCUACUUGAAUUCUAACAUGCAUAUUAUUACGACAUCUAUGAAAAAAAAAGGUUAUAAGUAAAUACACAACAGAAAAUUAAGAAUAAAACAGAAGCUAAUAAAAAAAGCGAUUCAUGCUACAACAAGAAAUACACAACAAACAAGAUAAGCAAAAAUUUGAACGCCAUGGAGUAUCCAGCUGUAAUUACAUAAUCGACUAAACAACAACGGGCUGAAUUGCGCAUUCUGCUUCCCUGAGAUUCGACGCCUUCUCUAAGAGAUGGUGGGAUUGAUAAAUACUAGGAAAUGUGUGAAAGGAAGAAUUGUAUAAUUAUCACUUUGGCUAUAUAAAUAGCCUUACAUAACAAACUGAACAAGAAAUAUGCAACCCACGUUUAACAAUCCUUAAAAACAUGGUAAGACUAAAUCAAAUAAAUAAAAACACCCUUCAUAGUAGGGAUUUAUUAGACUAAGCAAUAACAAACCAAAUCAACAGGGAUGCCUCUCAAAUUUGACGAAACCCAUGAACCAGAAUUCGUGCCCGUCAAUGGUGACAAUCUGAAUGUACUUCUCUGGUGGACUUUCUUUCAUGGUAACUGGGUUUGACUGUGCUUAUUUUUCCCAAGGGUAUCAUAACCUGCUCAAAGAAGUUUUCAUUAUUGAAUUAAUUAAUACCAAUAUAGAUGUUAUAAUUAGCCAUAGAUCGAAGAUUUAUUGUGAGGUGACCUGUGAUUGUGUUGUAUAUGUUAAUGAUAUACUCAAGUUGCAAUGCUAUAGAAUUUAUGCACUUAUAAUACCAAAAAUUAGUGUUUUAAUUAACAUUUUGCACCAUCCGACAAUGCAGGUUGCGCUAAUGGCCAGCGUAGAUUAGCUUCUUCUUUAGUUAUUUCCGCAAAUUCUUGUUUAGUCAGAUUUUUCCUAACUUUACAUUUGUAACUCAUAACUACACGAAGAUCCAUGAUCAAGAAAAACUUCAACGCACUAAAACAUGUCAGGAUUUCUGCCUCGCAAUUUAUUUACCUUGUAGUAGCUCGACGCCUCCUCUCCUGAAGGAGCAGUAUAGCACAGAGGACGGUCACUGCAGAAAGCGACUCGAGCAGUUGAUAGAUAGAGCGUCCCGGCAACUGGGCCAGUAGGUGUGGAAAGGUAACAAGCAAAAGUCUUCACCAGCUUCUCAUUAGGACCAGUUUCAAAAAUCUGCUUGAAGAGAGACUCAAAGCCACCCUCUUUGAUUGCUUUUGCGGUCAGGUUUACCUUACCCCACGCAGCUUGUGGCACAGAUGGC